AGAUUGUUGGUGAGGUAAUGGCUCACCAAGUCGACGAUCAUUAGCUGGUCUGAGAGGAUGACCAGCCAGACUGGAACUGAGAACGGUCCAGACUCCUACGGGAGGCAGCAGUAGGGAACUUUCCACAAUGGACGAAAGUCUGAUGGAGCAACGCCGCGUGCAGGAUGAAGGCUCUAGGGUCGUAAACUGCUUUUAUCUGUGACGAAUAUGACGGUAGCAGAUGAAUAAGGAUCGGCUAACUACGUGCCAGCAGCCGCGGUCAUACGUAGGAUCCAAGCGUUAUCCGGAAUUACUGGGUGUAAAGAGUUGCGUAGGUGGCAGAGUAAGUAGGUAGUGAAAGCGUUCGGCUCAACCGAAUAAACAUUAUCUAAACUGCUCAGCUAGAGGAUGAGAGAGGUUAUUGGAAUUCCCAGUGUAGGAGUGAAAUCCGUAGAUAUUGGGAAGAACACCGAUGGCGUAGGCAGAUAACUGGCUCAUUCCUGACACUAAGGCACGAAAGCGUGGGGAGCAAACGGGAUUAGAUACCCCGGUAGUCCACGCUGUAAACUAUGGAUGCUAGCUGUAAGAGGUAUCGACCCCUCUUGUAGCGAAGCUAACGCGUUAAGCAUCCCACCUGUGGAGUACGGUCGCAAGACUAAAACAUAAAGGAAUUGACGGGGACCCGCACAAGCGGUGGAGCGUGUUGUUUAAUUCGAUGGUAAACGAAGAACCUUACCCAGGUUUGACAUCCUGCGAAUUUUGCCGAAAGGCGAGAGUGCUUUAUUGAGCGCAGUGACAGGUGUUGCAUGGCCGUCGUCAGCUCGUGUCGUGAGAUGUUUGGUUAAGUCCAUCAACGAGCGCAACCCUUAUAGUCUGUUGUAUUUCUCAGGCUAGACUGCCCUGGUAACAGGGAGGAAGGGGGGGAUGAUGUCAGGUCAGUAUUACCCUUACAUCUGGGGCUACAAACACGCUACAAUGGCCGGUACAAAGGGCUGCCAAGUCGCAAGACGGAGCAAAUCCCAUCAAAGCCGGUCCCAGUUCAGAUUGCAGGCUGAAACUCGCCUGCAUGAAGUCGGAAUCGCUAGUAACGGUAGGUCAGCUAUACUACCGUGAAUACGUUCCCGGGUCUUGUACACACCGCCCGUCAAACCAUGAAAGUCGCCAAUACCUGACGUGUUGCCUUCGCGCAGCCCUAAGGUAGGGGAGAUGAUUGGGGUUAAGUCGUAACAAGGUAUCCGUACGGGAA
rnacentral:rRNA from 1 species